GACGAACGCUGGCGGCGUGCUUAACACAUGCAAGUCGAACGAAGAGCGAUGGAAGCUUGCUUCUAUCAAUCUUAGUGGCGAACGGGUGAGUAACGCGUAAUCAACCUGCCCUUCAGAGGGGGACAACAGUUGGAAACGACUGCUAAUACCGCAUACGAUUUAACCUCGGCAUCGAGGAAAGAUGAAAGGUGGCCUCUAUUUAUAAGCUAUCACUGAAGGAGGGGAUUGCGUCUGAUUAGCUAGUUGGAGGGGUAACGGCCCACCAAGGCGAUGAUCAGUAGCCGGUCUGAGAGGAUGAACGGCCACAUUGGGACUGAGACACGGCCCAGACUCCUACGGGAGGCAGCAGUGGGGAAUCUUCCGCAAUGGACGAAAGUCUGACGGAGCAACGCCGCGUGAGUGAUGACGGCCUUCGGGUUGUAAAGCUCUGUUAAUCGGGACGAAAGGCCUUCUUGCGAACAGUUAGAAG
rnacentral:rRNA from 1 species